rnacentral:lncRNA from 1 species
AAUAAAUAAAAGAAAGGAUUAACUGCCUAAUAAUUAACAGAUACUUUCAAAGGCCUUAGAGUCACAGUAAAGAUGAGAACACAAGUUGUACCAUUAAGUUAGACUUUGAGUUUGAGCUACUUCUCUGUGACAUGGCAUCGUUACAAUCACAGAAUGGUAUGUUUGAGAAAAGAACUUGAAGUACUAGCGGAGCAACUUCAGAGUGGGUUUUCAGCAAGCAUUUGUUGUUCCUGCCCACUCUUUUGACUAAAGAAAAGAGGAAAUGCUGGAGACUCGAUUUCACUGGAGCUUAGAACAUUCACUUUCACCACCCUGAGAAAAUUCAUCAUACUGACCCUACACAUCCAUGGGUCAUUAACAACUGGCAUUCACAGUUACAAAUUAAUUUCCAGGACAUGUCAUUAUGUGAACAUCACCGAGUCUGGGUAAUACAAUGACACAGCCUACAUGUAGGCAAAUGCUUAGUUAUCCAUGAGCUGUGACUAUCCCACAAUACAUGACUGAAGCUUUUUGUUAUAUAAUUAUGUUCUAUGUGUUUUAUGAUCACAUACUCUUUCUGUGUCCACAUGGGAAUCCUUAGUUAACAUGGAGCUGCAGCUCAGUGUCCUCAGAUGAAUAAAUAAAUGAGUGAAUGGUAGUAACCCAUUAUGCUCUAUACUUCUAGUUGUUACUAACAGAAUUGAAAGAUAUAUAUAUAUGUUAUUUCUAUGGGUAGUCAAAAUUAAAUCAUAGAGCAUGAAUUUUUGUCCUUUAUUCCUACUAGAUUUUCAUUAACAUACAGUAUUUUGUUCUGACUCACAUUUAAGACUGUUUUUCUUUAAAUUUGUUAAGUUCUUUUCCUCUCUGUAUUACUUGCUCAAAGAGCUAUGUGUGUGUUUAAAAGGUAAUAUAGUGGAAGGUCACCAAAGUCCAUAAACAUAGGUUUGGGAAUGACACUGCUAGUGCAGAUAUAUCCCAGUGUAGAUAUAUCCCAGUGCAGAGAUAUACCAGUGCAGAUAUAUGCCAGGGCAGAUAUAUGAUAGUAUCAUUUGUAGUUGGAUAGGUAAUGUCUAAACCUUACACUCAAUCCAUGUGUAAUUAGCAGAACAAGACAUCAUUGUGCUCUUGUAGGAUUAAUGAGAUAGGAGCAUUUAAUUUAUGCUAUAAACAAUAUGGAACAAUCAGUAAAAGCCCUUGUGAUAUAGUAAAAAUGAAUAUGAAAAUAUCUGGCUAUUUCACUCAUUUUACAUGUUUUAAAUUUUAUUAGCACAUACUAUUUUUGCAAAAGAAUGGGUUUCAUGGCGAAAUGUUCAUAAAUACACACAGUAUUCUGAGUCAUAUCCAACUCUCCUUCACUCUCUAUUCUAUCCCAGACUCCACCCUUCCACAACCCCUGUCCUUCCCAGAAUCUGUUCCCUGCCCUUUCUUUGAGUGUGUGUGUGCAUGUAUCUGUAUAUCUGUGCACAUACACGUGGGUAUAUGUAUGCUUAUAUCUGUGCACAUACACGUGGGUAUAUGUAUGCUUAAUGCUUUUGAAUCACUUUACUUUCUGUGAAACUUCCAUUCGGUCUUUAAGAUCUGCUUAUUCUCAGUGUUGGCAUUAAAAUGUCGUUAGUAAUGUUGAAGCAACCUGCGCUGGCAUUUCCACUAUUCUGUUUCUUAGUAAAUAUUGCAUCCUUUUGUAUUUUGCCUUAUUUCCUAAAGUAUCACAAAACUGUGCAGGGGACUCUAGCAGUCGCUCACUAAAAUGCUCUCUUUUAGGGCAGGAAAGAUGGUUCUGUGGGUAAGAAUGCUUGCUGCAUAUGCUGGAGGAGGAUAUCCGAGUUCAGAUUUCAACACCCAUUGUCAAGAGAAAGUGACUGCUGCACACAUACCUGAAACUCCAGCACUCUUGGGGUGGAGACAGAGGGAGCACUGGAGUGGAUGACUGCAGGCUGCCUGACUAGUUCCAGGCUAAUGAUCCACUUUGUCUUAAGAGAUAAGGGAGCAUAGUGAUCCAGAAAAAUGCCUAGUGUUCUUCUCUGGCUGCAACUUGAGUUAAUGCAGAUGCGCCCAACUGCAUAUACAUGUGCGCAUACUACACCAAUAUACACACAUUUAUGUAUAUAUAAGUAUAUGUGUGUGUGUGUAAUAGAAUAAUAAUCAUAUUCUCAAUUAAUAACAAAAAUAGCAAAGCUAAGACUCAAACAUUUUGACAAAGUAUUUUUGAAAAUUAUUUCUAGAGUAUCUGCUGACACAACAACCAAUGAGCUACUUAGACAUAGAAAAAUAAAUUUGUCUUGUUGGCUUAGUGUCCAUAAGAUUAACAGAAGGUGGACCCAGAAUAAAAGUUCUUUUAGGAGUAAAGGGAAGUCCCGUAUGAAGUAUCUGAAGACAAACCUAUGAACUCUUAGUCCUACAGCUUAUUUCUGUUGUGCGAGCUCCAGCUUUCUGACUUUAGAUACAAGAUCUCCUUCUGUAGCCCAGGCUUGUUUCACACAUGUGCUCUUCUUGCUCCAGCCUUCCAUAUGCUGCUGUUACUCACAUGAGGUAUGCUGUUCAGCUUCAAAUGUCAUCUCACUUUUGAGAUUUACAUUUAAAACUUUUAAAAUGGUUCCUGAAAUUCCUUGGACAUCUGAGAGUGGUCCCGAGUAGACUGAUAUUUACAGGCCUGGGGAUUCUUUUGACUCUUCAGUGCAGUUGCCUAUCCUGUCUUCCAGUGUUAUCUGCUAUGAGAGGCCAGGCAUGGAUAAAGUAAAAACGCCACAGUGGUUUUGUUGUUGUUGGUUGUUGUUGUUUGUAUCCUUGUUUUCCCUUUGUCAAGUAGAAAAAAAUAACAAGAUGUAAGAUGUUCCACUCUUCAUAGCAUAAUGGAGUGGUCCUUAAUGUGACUAACCCUUGGUUACUUUAAUUUCAUAGUCGUACUUGGUUUUGCUGAUCUUGGUGGACUACAGACUAGCUGUUGGGGUUGUUAGUUCUCUUUCACUGAAAAGGGAGAAGAGACAUGGAGGGAGCAGAAUUAUAAGGAUUAGUAUUUGAUAAGGAACAGAAAUCUUAUUCCAAUUCAAUUUUCCUCUCUUGCAUUGUGAUGUGCUCCUAUGAACAAACUUACCCACUGUCACUCUUAGGCCAGUGUCAGAACCCAUCAUAUACCACAGUCCGGAGAGAAUUUUACCAUUAUUAUUAUUAUUAUUAUUAUUAUUAUUAUUAUUAUUAUUGCACAAUACCUAGGCAUGCCAUGGCCCAGAACAUCAUUAGACUCCUGUGCUUUGUAUGUAAACAGCUUUCUUCCUCAAGCUGUGCUUUAGGAAACCAGUCUUCCUUUACCAAUGAAUAUGUGAACACUUGAAGUGAGAGCACUUCACUGAGUCUUUGAUUUCUCUGGCUCCAGGAAAAGAGAUAAACGUAUAUAGACUGAGAUGCUCCAGUGUCAGAUUAUAAGAAUCUGAAUCUCUUACUGUGACCCAGACCUUUGAUUGUCUGUUGUUUGCCCCAUCCAUAGAAUGAUGGCAACAUCGAAAGUUCCUGAAAAAGAGUUACGUAUUAUAAACUUAGAACAGGGUGUGACUAGUACCAGUGAUCCAAAGGCAGUGGCUAUAAUCAUUAUGGCUAUUUCUUAUUUGUGAAAAUUAAGUGAAAUAUCUGACUUGAAGUGCUUGGGAGGGCUCGCAUUUCUCUUUAUAUAUAAGAAAUCCACUCCUCCUUUAAAAUCAAAGUUAAGGGCUUCAGUAUUAAGUUCUUCAUUCAUUAAAUGCCUUCAGAACUGAUUUCUUUUUUCACUGGAUGAGUUUUCAUCACUAGUUUUUUUCACAAAAAGCAUCUUGACCAUUUGGAAAUUGAACAUAUCCCCUUGUGUCAUUGAUACCAACAUUGAGAGCAUACAUAAAUUUAAUUUAAAAGUUUAUCUCAGUCUUGAUUCUCCCUUGAAAUUUUCCUAUAGGAUGAUACAUAGAUGGCUUCCUGUACUUACUGUAGUCAUUUGGAGUAGAUUCAGACCCAGGUUAAUGUGGUCUUUGGUAAACAUCAAGAAGAUGAUUUUUUUUCAUUGAUUUUAUCAUAUAGAUCUACCAUGGUAUAAGAGUCUUCUCUUUCUGCUAAAUCUAGACACUACCUGUGACAAAAUCUCUUAAAGCCAUAUCCUUCCACUUUAUGGGCAACAGAGGUCUUACCCUCCCAAGAGAGUAGGAAACCUGUGUUAGCAAUUGCCAGUGAGAAUGAAAAUCUCUCCCUACAAGUUUAUCUCAUAUGAGCAUUAAUAUUCUCCAUAUGACUAUCUUUUAUAGUAUUUCAUUUUCCAAAUAUAUUUUCAAAACACAAGUUAUAUUAUUGUCCAUUACCAACCACUAAUGGAGAAUUUUAUGACUAACUUUCAAACCAGGAAUGAUUAUUUUUUAUGGGAAGAUACAUUUGCAAACCUAGAUAUGGUAGCAUUUAAAUGGCCACUUAUUUCUGGUAGAAAACUAGCCUGAUAAUAGCCUAAAACUCAGAUUUCCAUUCCAUGGUAACAUUAUCUUCAGGCCCAGAUGGAUGUCCUUUGCACUUAAAGAGCAUAAGCAAAACCAAUUUGAUGGAAAUAGGUUCUUUCUUAUCAUUAGGAAAUUUAGAAAUGGACAAAUACUGACUUGCAUAUUAAAUCUAUGAUCCAAGGCUAGGUCCAUUCCCCCAGUAGUCUGUUUGUUUUGUCUUUUCAAGAAGUCUGAAAAAAACACACAUCUCUACUAGAUGUUCCUUUGCUCAGGAAUGGUGGGCCCAGGGUGCUGUAGGUGCAACUGAGCAAUAAGAGCUCUUGUCUGUGCAUGACGAACACUGGGGGAUUCUGCCUUCACUCGCCUUUUCUCUUCUGCCCAUGAGCCUUUCAUGUUAUGCAUAUUUUCAGUCUAAAUUUCUAAAAAACAAAGACAACAAAACAAAACAAAACAAAAACCAAUAGAACUCUUAAAAUAAGACCAUUGUUGUUGUUUCUUAGUUUUAUGCACUACAUGAGCUGGGGGAAUCUAUUAAACAGUUUUCAAUCCUUUCUUUCUUUAUUAAUGUUUCUACGGUCUGUUUCCAACAUUGCUGAGGAGAGCUGUAAUAUAAACAAUGAUUCAGUGACAGAAUUUACAUAGUACUUACAGUGUAAAUAUUGCCGGAGAAUUUAUAUAGUACUUAUAGUGUAAAUACUGCUGGAGAGAGAUUUCUUAGUCUAAAAUACGUAUCCUAAAACCAAGGUGAUAGGUUGUGAAGAGGUUUUUUGGGGGUUUUUGUUGUUGGUUUUUGUUUUUGUUUUUGUUUUUACUUCUAAGAUGUACUUAUACUGACUUAUGUAAGUCAAAAUAAGUCAAGGACCCUCAAGUGUUUAUUUUAUAGCUAAUCUCCACUGCAUGAUUCUCCAAAAUCCAUAUCCAUUUGUUUGAAGUACAAAGGAUAGGAUGAAGAAAGAAAGCAAUUAUUAAAUAAAAUAGAGGUUAAAUGAUCUGCCCGAAACCCAGAACUGGCUGCUGACUACACCAAGAACCAGGAGAAUCAAACCACACUGGAUUCACCGUUCCUAAAGAGCUCAGGACUUCAACAUGACGUUUUGCAGAGCAUGGCCCAAUAUCUAUAUUAAUCAAUGUAAAAUAACUUUUACAUUAUUCAGGAAUUUAACUCAUAUAGGUCUAUAAAUGCUCAUAUGCCAUGGAAUGGGUGGUGACAAACCACCAGUAAUAUAACAUGACAAAUAUUUAUUUAAUUGCUAAUUCAUUACAAAUAAUCGUGGGUAGAAUUUUCAGUUUUGUUUUGUUUUGUUUUACUUUAAGGAAGUCACACAGUUCCAAUAAUUUGUGGUAAAUGAAACCACAACCUGGUCAAGUACUUUCAGAUUUUAAAAUUAAGAUUUAGUAAUAUGAAUACUCCUGAGAGUCAGUUUUUCCUUGUCAAAAGCAUAUGAAUGACAAACAUGAUUAGUGAAUGUAGAUGAAUUUCGCAAACAUAGAGGCAAAUAAAAGACUUCCUAAAUGAAAGAGAACCAGUUGAGUGCAAUCACUUUUCUAUGUUUAUGGCUACAGAUUACAAGAUCUUCCUGAAUGAUCCUUGGAAGUCUUUUAAGGCAGGAAAACUUUAAAAGACCCCUCACACAUGUUGCACCAUGCCUUGUGUAAAGGCUUCCCUUCCUGCUCCAUUCUUGAAACACUUAUCUGACUCACAUCAAAAGUCUCCGAUAUGCUUGACCCAGUAUGGUGUGUACACAUGGAUGUCUACCCAACCAUCUUUUCUACUAGACUCUUGACUUGGAGAGAGUAGAAGAAGUAGGUGUCCAGAUAUCUGGGGUGUUUUACACUAAGAAAUCAAGUCCCGCUGCAUAAAGAUAUUGGAAUGUCAAUGAAAUUCAAAGAAAUUCUUUAUGACUUAUACACACCAGAUCUCAUGCAUGGCUUUUUACGACUUUUUCUUUCACUCAAGUGACAAAUACAAGCAGAAACUCCAGCAGACUUAACAGUAUGAAUGGCAGACAGAGGACAUGAAACCCAUCCAUCCCUCCACUUGCUCUUUCAUUCAACAGAUUUAUCGUGAGAGAAUCUUCAUGUGUCAGACAUUCUGUCAGACCUGAGGAUCUAAAGAUGAAUAUGAUAGAUCCCCUGAAGCUCUGCCUCGUCAGAGAUAGACUAUAAACAGUAAUUAUAACACAAUGUGAUAAGGGCUUUGACAGAACAAUGCACCCUCUGCUGUGCGAUUUCUAAAGCAGGAAUAAAUGACUCUGCACACCAAAUUACUCCGUUUAAUUUUAAUACACCUUUAAUAUUCUUUCUUAUCUGAUUGUUUAGUAUGUAACUACCUUAAUUCAGAACAAAAAAGUAGGAAAGGGCCUAUGCAAAGUAAUGGGAGUUUAAAUAUUACAGUUCUAUUUCUAAACUAAUUAGUGUUCAUCAUUGUUCAUGUUAUACAUAGUUUGAAUCUCAAACAGAAAUCUAUAUAAAGUCUAAGCCAGAAAAGCUUUGCAUGACUUGCCUAGCAAACUCAUUAAUGGUGUCAUUUAUUUAGCUUUGAAAUUCAAAGAGAAUUCUUAAAAGAGAAUUACUCUAGUAGGCACCUUACAAGAAGAGGCAUGUGAGGGUAGGGGCAUAUUAUGUCAUGAAAACCGUUCAGAGUAAGUUAGAGACACAAAGACUGCUCUAGAAUGAAGGUGGGUGCCUGAGCUUGGAGCAGAAGUUCAUCUCCUGCUUUGUUGUUGUUUAUUAAUUAUUAUUACUAAAUAUUUUAUUAAAAAACUGACUGGA